rnacentral:lncRNA from 1 species
CACCUUUCUUGCUCCUCAGCCAGUAAUUAUACAGUCCACAAUGAACGGACAACGGAUAUUCACACUUUGAAUGGGCGUUAAUUCAAAGAUAUAUAUGUAUAUAUAUAUAUAUAGAGAGAGAGAGAGAGAGAAAGUGCUGUAGAUUGAAUGAUGACUUAUAUGGCUAGUUUUACCGGGAUCUAGUUUAUGGAUGAUGUUAUCAGAUGUUCUUACUGAAUUUUUUAAUAUUAUAUUUUUUUAUUUCUACAUUAUUGAUGGAUUUAAUGAUUUCCAUCUAUCAAGAAAAAAAGAACGUAUGUAGGUUAUCACGCAAAAAGUCAAUCAUGUACAUCCUCCAGAUAACUCAUCCAUCAAU